AUUGAACGCUGGCGGAAUGCUUUACACAUGCAAGUCGAACGGCAGCACGGGGCAACCUGGUGGCGAGUGGCGAACGGGUGAGUAAUAUAUCGGAACGUGCCCAAUCGUGGGGGAUAACGUAGCGAAAGUUACGCUAAUACCGCAUACGAUCUACGGAUGAAAGCGGGGGAUCGCAAGACCUCGCGCGAAUGGAGCGGCCGAUAUCAGAUUAGGUAGUUGGUGGGGUAAAGGUUCACCAAGCCAACGAUCUGUAGCUGGUCUGAGAGGACGACCAGCCACACUGGAACUGAGACACGGUCCAGACUCCUACGGGAGGCAGCAGUGGGGAAUUUUGGACAAUGGGCGCAAGCCUGAUCCAGCCAUUCUGCGUGCAGGAUGAAGGCC
rnacentral:rRNA from 1 species